GCGGCGCUGUCGCCCCCUCGGGCAGCCCCCUACCGGGGAAAUGUCUGCGCAGCGCGGGCGCGCAGUGGCGUGACGGGGCUCGCCCGCGGAGCUGCCGUCUCCCGGGGCAUGCGGGAGGGGAGAAUACCGCGCAGGCCUCGCUUUUCUCUUCUUUUCCUUCCUUCCUCUCACAAGAAAAUCCUAUAUAAACCUGUUCCUCUUAGGCAACGCUAAGAGCAAACCUGUGGCACCAGUUUUCCCUUGAUUUCCCAAAACAAACCUUUAUGUGGUGCUCCAAGUGUAAACAAGCCAUUGUCAAGAGCAUGGAUGUAAGCUCCUUUGUCCAUUUCUAUAGCUAUGGUUCCUGUAAUUUCACCAAAAUUGCUGAUGGCCCACCAGUUUCCUAAAAUGCAAAAACAUGCUGUUCUUGUCAGUGAAGCGAGCUGAUGAAUCAAGGACAAGAGAACUCUGAAGAGCAACUGUCUGUCAAGUUACCACUCAUGAUCAAAACCUACAUACAACUUUGAUCCUCUAAUUUCAGGAAAAAGGAAGAAGUAAGAUUAUAAUUUA